rnacentral:rRNA from 1 species
GAAGGAAAUUAAGUACGGAAGUUCCUGAUUUCACGCUGUCAAGAAAAGCCUCUAGGAAGAGUAGUACUGCCCGUACCGCAAACCGACACAGGUAGAUGAGGAGAGAAUCCUAAGGUGAGCGAGAGAACUCUCGUUAAGGAACUCGGCAAAAUGACCCCGUAACUUCGGGAGAAGGGGUGCUCUAUUAGGGUGCAAGCCCGAGAGAGCCGCAGUGAAUAGGCCCAGGCGACUGUUUAGCAAAAACACAGGUCUCUGCAAAACCGUAAGGUGACGUAUAGGGGCUGACGCCUGCCCGGUGCUGGAAGGUUAAGAGGAGUGCUUAGCUUCGGCGAAGGUACGAAUUGAAGCCCCAGUAAACGGCGGCCGUAACUAUAACGGUCCUAAGGUAGCGAAAUUCCUUGUCGGGUAAGUUCCGACCCGCACGAAAGGCGCAACGAUCUGGGCACUGUCUCAACGAGAGACUCGGUGAAAUUAUAGUACCUGUGAAGAUGCAGGUUACCCGCGACAGGACGGAAAGACCCCGUGGAGCUUUACUGCAACCUGAUAUGGAAUGUUUGUACCGCUUGUACAGGAUAGGUAGGAGCCGAAGAGACGUGUGCGCUAGCAUACGAGGAGGCAAUGGUGGGAUACUACCCUGGCUGUAUGACCAUUCUAACCCGCCACGCUUAGCGCGUGGGGAGACAGUGUCAGGUGGGCAGUUUGACUGGGGCGGUCGCCUCCUAAAGAGUAACGGAGGCGCCCAAAGGUUCCCUCAGAAUGGAUGGAAAUCAUUCGCAGAGUGUAAAGGCACAAGGGAGCU